AAGAGUGAACAACAGUCGGCUAUAAAUAAGGCAAACAGAAAACGCACUUCACAAUACUAAGCUUUGCGACACCAAUAUGACUUUCCAUCAUAUUUAUCUACUGGCAUUUUGCUUCGCUGUAUCAACAGUAACAACUGCUUUGCCAUAUCCUUAUGCUCCCCAACCAACCCAGAGAGUGACGGCAAGAUUAAGAGUGAAAAGAUGUGCUCAGCCAUGUUCUAUUGAUAGUAAUUGUUCUGGUGGUCAGAAAUGUUGUUUCUCGGGUCAUUGUGGACGGAUGUGUCAGAACGCUUGCAGAAAGACAGAAAUUCUUUCUCUUGGAUGAAUAGGACUGUAUCCUGGAUAUUUGCUUAAAAUCUUCCUUACCAAAUUCAGUUCUGUAGAUUUAUUAAGUGCACCCGACACAAAUGCAGUGCUUCAGUGCCUCUUACCGAUACCCCCCCCCCCCCCCAACACACAUACACCAAGUAUCUAAUAUUUAUUAAAACAUUAUUUAUAUUCACUUUGUAUCCAAGGCUAUACAUGCUUUCUUUUUAAAUCGUGUAUCCAUAAUAAAAGUCACUUGUAAUUUUGGUAUUUAUUUCAGGCUUGAUUUCUAAGGGAGUACCUUUUAAUAUUGAAGUAUUUAAGUCUAUGUGAUAUUGUUUAGGAUAGUUUAGUGGUAGUGUGGAAUCGCAAUUUGCAGUAUUACGUCUUAACAUUCCCACUGUAACAUAUUCGACUUACUAAAUGAUAGUUGGAAAAUAAAUGUCAUUUAUUAGAACAUUCUUGUUAGUUGUUACAUAAAUCAAACUAACAAGUCAACUACGAGAUAUUCAGCCCCAAACUAAACAGAUAUCACUCAUAUUGUGCAUUUGUCUUUUUAUAAGCAGGUAGCAAUCAAACUAUUUAUCACUCUCUGAUGGACCUUAUACACUAUACUAAAUGUUUCGUAUGCAUGGAAAUGGUGAUAUUUAGAAAUAUUUAGACUAACAUUACCAUGAAUUUUCAACAAUUCUACAACCGACAGUAAACUUAUGUUGUGGACCUUAUUAGUUUGUUAUUUAAAGAUCUUAUUUCCUGCACCAACAACAAUGAUGAAGAGGGAUACAAACCAUGCAGUGCUACUCGUUUUUCCAUAUAUGUCAGUGGAUAUUUUUCGGACUGCCAAUAGAAUUACACGAGACCUGUUUUUUUUUGUGCCACCCGGAAGUUUAAACGUUUGUCUUUGCCAGGUCCCGUCACGGGUUGAAACAAGCGAUGAUGGAAUUCAGGACCCUCUGUUAACAAAUCAGUUCUUACUUAUUCACCGAAGAUGAUAGUCGAAAUUACAAUCACACUGGUUUUCUGUUUAACCGGUAGUUUGGGACUACGAAUUGGCAAUACUGAGCUUUUAGAUCGAUGCAGCACAAUGCGAUGUGGAUUUGGAACGGAAUGUAAGCUGACACAGGUACAGUGUAUCAGAGCACCUUGUCCACCCAUAGCGUCUUGUCAACCUGUAACUAGAAGAGUGAAACCAGGUGUAUGCGCACCUCCAAGAUCUGGUAUGAUGGGGAUAUGUGUUGAGGCGUGUUCUAACGAUGACGAAUGUCCUGGCAAUAGGAAAUGUUGCAGUAACGGGUGUGGUAAAACUUGUCAAGAGCCAUCCUCGAUGCUGCGAUCUGUAAAACAGGGCACAUGUUCAA